rnacentral:rRNA from 1 species
UUUUAUUGUAAAUUUUUACCUAAUAAUUAUUAGUUAAGGUCUUUAAAGUUAAAUAUUUUGGCGGUAUUUUAGUCUUUUCAGAGGAACUUGUUCUUUAAUUGAUAAUCCACAUUUAAAAUUACUUUUAUUAGAAAUUUAUAUAUCGUUGUUAAAAUUAUUUUUAAUGAAUUAAAUAAUUAGUUUAUUUUAAAAUAAAAGUUCAGAUCAAGGUGUAGUUUAUAUAAAAGUAGAAAUGAGUUACAUUAAUAAAAUCGGAUUUAGAAUUUAAAAUUUUAAUAAAGAUGGAUUUGUGAGUAAUAUUUUUUAUAUUUUAAAUAUGAUGAGGCUCUAAAAUAUGC